rnacentral:tRNA from 4 species
GAAAGCCGGGCGCCGGUAUGGCGGGACCCCCGCUCCCCGGGCGGGGCGGGCCCUGCACAUCCGGGCCCGCCGCCGCCCCGGAUGCGGCGGGCCUUCCCC